AUGGCUCCACUUGCCCUAGGCUUGUGCUUUUUGUACUCUGAAGCAAAACCUCAUCAUCAGAAUACAUAUGCUCUGAGAGAGCAAAAGGAGAAUGACACUACAAAUGCACAACAAAAUCAACACUCAGCCUUUAGCUCCCUGUCUGAAAAAGAAGCUAGGGGUACCUGUAAAAAUAAGGGCAGUAAGGGAAAAGGUGAUGAAACUGAGAAUGUGCAAGGUAAACUGAAUAAAAUGGGAGGAACACAGAUUAGGGAGGAAAGUGGAAAGGAAAAUAAUGAGGGUGAUAAUGUGGUUGGGUAUAGUGCUGAGAAGGAGCGAGAGAAAAAAAAUAAUGAAACUGAUGAUUUCGGAGUUGUACAGGUUACUAACAUUGACGAAGAAGCAGUCCAAAAGGAUCAUAAAGAGUUCAACUUCAAUAACAACAACAAUAACAAUUACACCACGUUUUCACAUCCAAACAUUUGUAGGCAGGAAACAAUUCUCUCAGCUCCAUCUAACCCAGUGACAGAACUAAGCCAUGGAAUUUGCACUGCAUCGCAGCAUGCCUUUGAAAAACUGCAAAAUCAGUCUGGAAAUGAAGAAAUAUUUGAGAUAGGUGAAUCUUUUGAGAGCUAUUCUAGCAAUACUGUAACUGUUUCACUGGAUGAACAGAAUUCAGAAGAUAAAGAUGCUGUUACCUCUAAUAGUCUUGCUCAAUUUACUAAAGAUACCACUUGUCAGAAGCCUUGUACUAAUAGCAUAUUAGUUCUAAAGGAGGCAAUGAAUACAACACUCUCUGUUGACAGUGACUUGGUAUGUAUUGGGGAAGAAUCAAGAAAUGAUAAAACUGUAAAUACUAUUUUAUCUGACACUGUGAAAACAUCUUUUCUUAAAGACUACCUCAUUUUAGACUUUGGUCUAGUAGAAUCCACAGAUGUAACUAAAAGCACCUCCAGCUCAUAUUCAAAAGACGACAGGAAUUGUGAUAGGGAACUGAAUGAUAUUAAUGCCUGUCAGGAAGAUAAAAGAGUCCUGAGUGCCCGAGAAUGA
rnacentral:lncRNA from 1 species